GAUCAUGGCUCAGGAUGAACGCUAGCUACAGGCUUAACACAUGCAAGUCGAGGGGCAGCAUUUCAGUUUGCUUGCAAACUGGAGAUGGCGACCGGCACACGGGUGAGUAACACGUAUCCAACCUGCCGAUAACUCGGGGAUAGCCUUUCGAAAGAAAGAUUAAUACCCGAUAGUAUAAUUAGACCGCAUGGUCUUAUUAUUAAAGAAUUUCGGUUAUCGAUGGGGAUGCGUUCCAUUAGGCAG
rnacentral:rRNA from 1 species